rnacentral:lncRNA from 1 species
CCAGUAAUGCCAGUCAUAUAAAUAUCAAAGAUAAAAAAAAUUAAAUAAGAAUAUUUUAUUUCAUAUAUAUAUAUAUAUAUAUAUAUAUAUCGCAACUCAUGCAACUGCAUGGGUCAUGGAUAGGAAUACUUAUUAUUACUAGCUCUGAAGUUGCAAUAAUACUGUUGUAAAAAGUACUAGAGGAUGAUUGGCUAAACAUGAUGAUCUGUAUGGAAUAGGUGGAAGAAGCAACCAAGCGGGCUCGCGGUGAAUCUUAAGAAUGAAAAUAUUAUUACAUUCAGCAGAUUUAUCAUGAAAAUAACAAGAGAAGGAAGAAGGACAAUCCAAUAGUACUGAUAACUCUAAUACCAACUGAGGAAGAUCCCAAUACGGCAUUCGUGGCUGUAGCGAAUGCGACAAUCAUUGUUGCUAGUGCGAUCAAUAUGUAUAGAAGCUGCCAGAAACAUUGCUAUAGUGUUUGAUACCAUGAAUGCUACUGAUUAUUGGGGCCAACAUAUGCCGGUGCUUUCACUUUGUUUGAUAUCUGAGCCACCACUUGCUGAUAUUGUCUUUCUGAAGGCAGAUAAAGUGGAGUCUCAUAGGAGUAAUCAGGAUCCAUUUCUAACAAGGUCUUCACUACUUCAAUGUGAUGAUUGCGCACAGCCUCAUGUAAUGCAGUGUCCUUCUCAUCAUUUCUAGCCCUCAUAAACUUGUUUGCUGCUGGAAAAGCUUUGACAUGUUCAACCAAUAAGUUUGUGAUAUUGGAGUGUCCAUACUGCAGCGAUGUGAAGGGGUGUUUCUCCCUUGGCGUUAGUGAGUAGAGCUAGAUCUCUACAUUUCUCAAGAAUCUGAGUCACAAAUUGUUCCGAAACAGGUGUAGAUGUCAAGUAUAUAUGAAGGGUGGUGGUGAUGAUGGCUGCUGAAAUAUCUUCACCUAAAUAUUAAGAUUCUUUAAUAGAAAUAAGACAUAAAUAACGUCGUUUAGCUUUUG